GCCUAGCCUAACACACAAUAAAUAACUAAUUGUUCGCCAAAUAACUACGAGUAAAAACUUAAAACUUAAAAGACUUGACGGUACUUCACACCACCCUAGAGGAGCCUGUCUAAUAACCGAUACACCACGAUUAACCCAACCUACCCUAGCCAAACAGUCUAUAUACCGCCAUCGCCAGCUUACCUUGUGAAAGCAACAAAGUAAACACAACAGCCCUUCACUAAUACGAUAGGUCGAGGUGUAACUAAUGGGUGGGAAAAAGAUGGGCUACAUUUUCUAAUACAGAAAACACGAAUAGACUAUGAAAAUAGAAACCGAAGGCGGAUUUAGCAGUACGUUAAGGACAAUAUGCUUAACCGAAAUAAACGCAAUGAAGUGCGUACACACCGCCCGUCAUCCCUGCCAAAAACAACUAAACUCCAUAAACACAAUAAACUAACUAAACAGGGCAAGUCGUAACAUGGUAAGCGUACUGGAAAGUGCGCUUAGAAA
rnacentral:rRNA from 1 species